UCGAACGGUAACAGGAGUAGCAAUACUUGCUGACGAGUGGCGCACGGGUGCGUAACGCGUAUGCAAUCUACCUUUAACGGGUGAAUAGCCCGAAGAAAUUCGGAUUAAAACACCAUAGUAUAUUUGAAUGGCAUCAUUUGAAUAUUAAAACUCCGGUGGUUAAAGAUGAGCAUGCGUGACAUUAGCUAGUUGGUAAGGUAAUGGCUUACCAAGGCAACGAUGUCUAGGGGAUCUGAGAGGAUUAACCCCCACACUGGUACUGAGACACGGACCAGACUCCUACGGGAGGCAGCAGUAAGGAAUAUUGGACAAUGAUGGCAACACUGAUCCAGCCAUGCCGCGUGAAGGAUGAAGGCCCUAUGGGUUGUAAACUUCUUUUGUACGGGAAAAAACCUCUUUACGUGUAAAGAGCUGAUUGUACUGUAAGAAUAAGGAUCGGCUAACUCCGUGCCAGCAGCCGCG
rnacentral:rRNA from 1 species